rnacentral:lncRNA from 1 species
ACACCCCUUUUUUGCAGUGUGUCAGAUUCAGACAUUCAACAAUCAAAUAGUACCAUCAUUUUUUUCCAUAAAAUAUGUUAAUGUUCUCUCCUCUAGAUGCUCCAAGUGUUCCUACAAUAACCCACAAUUCCUCUGGUGAAAUCAGUGAAGGCAGUUCAGUGACUCUGACCUGCAGCAGUGACGCUAACCCACCUGUUACUAAAUACACCUGGUACAAGAACAACGGAAACACAGACCAACAACCUGUCAGUGCAAAGAAUCCGCUUGUUUUUGAGUCCAUCCAAUCCUCUGACUCUGGAGAGUAUUACUGUAAAGCUGAAAACAAGCUGCAAGAGACGACAUCAAAAUACAUCGUUAUAAACGUGAAAUCUUCAUCCACAUCCGUUGUAGCUGGAGUGACUGUUGCCAUCCUCCUUCUCAUAAUCCUCAUCACUGUCUUCUUCUUAUUUAGAAGAAAAAGGGCCUCCAAAAAAUCAGCUGACUCUGAAGUGGAACCACAAAGCGGUGAAAAGGUAUUUGUGUCCCCACAGUGUCCACCCAGUCCCAAACCGCCACAAAAGCAGGACAGCCUUCAUUACGCCGCUGUGGACUUCUCUCUGAACCAGGCUAAUCCUGUUUACUCCAACACUGGAGCACCUCGGCAUCAGAAACCCCAGAGUCAACCAAUAUUUUGCGAGUACUCUUCUGUCACAUUUCAUAACAACAGUUCUGACUAGGGUUGAAAGAUAUAUUAUUAUCGUAUCAAUACCUGGAUAUGAACAUUCAAGAUAUUAAUGUUGAAAAAGCAACGAUAUAAACGAUAUAGAUUUCCCCUGCGCUCACCCUGCAUGUACAGCUCUGGAAGUCACAACAAAUUUCAUUUAUCCGUACUUUAUGUUAAUGUUGAUGACUGGCAGUGAGUUCUUAUAAAUAAAACUGCACUUUCCACAUUCUUUUGUAUUAUGAUGUUUGUAUUUUUCUGAAAAAUGCUUGGUUUUCACCGAACCCGUAGUCAUAUCGUAUCGAUAUCGAGAUAUCUGGCAUGAAAAAUCGAGAUAUGAAAUUUUGUCCAUAUCGUUCAGCCCUAGUUCUGACCACUGGUAAGCUCAGAAGUUUUCCUUUAUUUUUGUGACAUUUUAAAUAUCACUGUUAGACCCCUUAAUAUUGUUAAGUGUAUUUUAUAUCAUAUCGUCA